UAUUAGGCAAAUCUGAAGAAGAAGAAAUAUCCCGCCAUUGAAACUCUCCGAUUCACUCCAUAGCUACAAUCUUGAGCACAACCCAUGUCACUAGACCACCCUACCUUCUCCUUCGUCUUCUUAGAUCAGUUCUUCGUGAAACUUAUCUCUUGUUUAAUCUCUACAGCUGGAAACCUUAAUUCAGUAUUUUUAUUUCUAAUCUAGGGUUUCAAUCAUAAAAAUGAGCAGGAGAUUACUUCGAUUGAUCGAUAGAAGGAUGAAAGUUAAAAAAUACGUUAUGGUUGGUGGAAGCUGGAGGAUUGACAUUAGAUGAGCAAAAAAGGGGCCAAAAGGAACACAUUUUAUAUCAAUCUCACAAUUUCCAGUAACGAAAUCUGGAAAGGACUUUAUUUUCUACAACUUCAGCCUUGGUUAUUCCUAGAGCUCUAGCAAAAGCGCAUGCCUGUGAGGUAAUUCAUUAGUUAAUUACUUUGAUGUUCGCUCUAACCGUUAUCCUAACUUUGUAAAUGAAAACUUUGUUCUGCCGCGGACGGUGGGCCUGGGUCUGAUUUUGUAUAUUUAUUUAGACUGCAUACAAAACUUUCUUUUUCGUCGACAUGCUGGCAGGUCUUGAUGUGUAUAUUACUAUCUGUAUGGAAGUUUCUUGUUGUCUAGUCUAACUACAUUUGCAAGCUCUUCCAUGUAUUACUCGAUUUAGUUUCUGCCUUGCAUAUUGUUAAGUGUCCAACUGUUGCAUACUAAUUAAAAUCUUGUUUGAAUUGGGUACUUAAUACUACUAUUUUUGGUGUAUCUUACAACGAUUCCAUGUGCAGCAGGCACUGUUAGAGAAUUAAUACAUAUAAAAAUGUUUUUGGUUUGUGUGAGCAUUUUCAUGUUUAAGACCAUGGGAUUCAAUAAAGUUACGUUGAUUUUCGGAAAUGAGGGAAUGCAAAUCUCACUUUGGUAGUAGUAAUAUGAAUUUCAACAUUCUUUUAUAUCCAUGUUGGUUUUUUGUGGCAUCAUAUACUUCUCAUAGGCUAUAAAAACCCCACUCAUGGUUCGUAUCAAGUGCUGGUCAUUUUCUAGGCAUUGGACGAGUACUUUAAGUUCAGUCCCUCAGCCUACAAAACUAUUGCUGUAAUAUGGUUUAAGUGUACUAAGUGCUCAGUUUGUUUUCUACCUUAUAUACUUUUGGAUUUACCCAUAUAGAUAAUCUGACUGUUAGAUUUGUGUACUUUGACGGUGUCAAUUUAUGAGUGCUAUUGUUCUAAGAAGAUAACUUGAUUUAAGAUGGUUAGCAGUAAUGGAUACAUGUUUCAUAGAGUGUUUUUGGUGCAACGGAACGAAUGGUUUUACACUUCAAAACGUGAAUCUUGACUUUUAUAUAAUGUUUAGUAAAUCUGUAUAAAUGUCGAUUGGCGAUCCAUUUUUUUAGUACCCAGUAUUAAAGUAUUCUGGGGAUCUUCCCUCUUCUCUAUCUUUAUGGAGCUGUGACCAUAAAUUUUUCAUUUCUUUUUUUUUCUUCUGUUUUGGUUGUUGGUUUUGAACAUUUGUGAUCGUUUAUUUCUAAAAUGAAUGUAUAUUUUUGUUUUAACUUCUGAGUGACGUACUGGGGGUUUGGCCUUGCUAGUGGGUUGAAAACCAACCCGUUAGAGGUUAAAUUUUUUGGUCCGUAACAGGAGCGCUAAUGGGUGUAUGGUCGUAUGCAGGUUUAUGAGAUUUUUUGAUCCUUAUCUUUUAAGCAGGAUGCUAAUUUAUAAUAUUCGUACAGAGGCGGGGACAAUUUUUUUGCAUCUUCAUAACUUUGUUCUGAAAUUACAUUCUCUUGACGAGAGAUUAAGAAUGGCGAUUGAUAGCAUCGUUGUUGUCAGGUUCUUGGAUACACUUUCUUAUCAUCAUACAAUCAUAUUGUUAUCUCUAAUGGAUGUGAACUAAUAUGUUCUGAAAUUACAUUCCCUUGGAGGUGGGAGAUUAUGCGCCGUGUGAUAAGUAACAGUGCAGUAGCACCCACCACAAAAGGAAAAAUUAAAGUAACACACGUUGCUUAUGGCUUGACAAAAGGAUCCUGUAUGCGCAUGCCAAUGGGAAUAAUGGUUUAACUACAACUUAUGUUAAAGGUUAUUAUGCGAUUUAGAUGACCAUUUCGGUUUCUGUUCUAUUGAUUAUUGUUCUUGAUAAUCCUUCAAAUUUUUGCACUCUUAUGUUAUUUUUAUUCAUUGGUGUUUGAUAUAUAUUCCAGAUGGGUCACGGAUGUAUAACUACCUCACAUUUGAUUUACACAAUAUAGUUUUAAGCUUGUUUUGGGCUCACCAUCUGUUGUUGAAACUUGGUUUCACUCUUGACCAUGCGUGUUCUGUGAUGUAAUAGUAGUAUGCUCAAAGCAAGAAGGUUGCAUUCAGGUCAUUCGGCUGGGGUUCAAAUUUAUUGUGCUGCUCAUGAAUUCCAUUAAUGGCUGAGUCGUAGUCAUGAUGUUGGUAACUCUCUCCUAUCUGUUUUCUUUUAUCGAUUUUUUUUGUAGUUUGUUGAACUAGGGUUUUUUAUUUUGUGUAGUUUUGAGUUCUUACGCUUAUGUAUAAUUCCGACAUUAUAAUCUAGGGAAGCUCAUUGUUCCCUGUAUAAGCAGAAAACUGAACAAGUAUAUCCUAUUGAGUGACAAAAAUAACUGUAUAGCAUUUUUCUGAAAAAAAUCCUCAUUGAUAAGAUGAUAAACUAAGUCAGUUUGAUAUCAUAGAACUCAGACUAAAUUUGCUUUGGUAUCUUAUGCUAAUUCCUCUCACUAUAAUCUGAAAUGUAGAUGAACGAGAGAAAGAAGAGAGCACAAACGUAGAGAGAACAAGGAGUUGAUAAGAACUUAAGUGUUGAAGUUUUACUCCCAUAUUUGUACUAGCUAGGCCUCGUUAUUUGGACUUGUCGUAUUCCGGUACCCAAGGAAAAGUAGUGACUUUAUUGAUUUUCUUUGAACUGCUCAGCUGAAUGCAUGUUUAGUUCAGUAUGUUGGGCUUACAGCUGGAAUAUCCGGAUUGCAGGGGAGACCAAUGUUUAGGUAAUUAAGAUGUUUAGUCUUAUGUUCAUUCUUAAUUUUUCCUUUCCAGCGAUUUCAAUUCUGAUGCACUUUUUGUGUGCUGGUAAUGGAGCCCUUAGUAGAUCAAGAAGAUAAGUUUCCAAAUCUGAUCAUUGUCUUAUUAUCUUGCUUUUUGUGUGAUCUUCAUCUUUAUAUCUCUACCUUAUAUUAAUUCUUUGUCAUAACUUUGCAAAUCUGAUCAUUGUCUUAUUAUCUUUGCUGUCAACAUCAUAUGAAUAGCAAAUUUCAAUUGCGCAGCUUGAACUUUAACUACAUCUAAAGUCUAAAUUGUGCAGGACAGCUACAUUAGUUAGCUAUUGAACUACAACCGAUCAACCAGUUCACUAUGUAACCUGAAGAAUCCAAGGAGAGCUGCAAUACCAUCAUUUUAACUACAUUUAUAAGUCUCAUAAUACUAAGUUUAGUUUUCUUCUUCUUUUCCACUUAAUUUUUAUUACAUUGUCAUUUUACUUGUGAUAGUUGAAAUUGGUUGAUUGCAGGGAAACAACUUCAUUUUUUUUGAGGUGUGAUAACAUAGGACUUACCUUGUCAUAUACCGAUUUCUUCCCGUUCCAGCAAAUCUUUGGAGCAUAUGCAUAAUCUUUCAGGAGGUUAUCUCCUCAUCUGAGAGAUAAUGUAUAUGCUACAAUGGUUUACUGGAAUUUAACUAUGUCAAAGAUAAAGUAAGUGAUGUGAAGGAGAUUGAAAGGCGUGGAAUUGAACCAAGUGAUGGAGCAAAAUUAGUAAGUUAUUGACCUCAAUAUGUGCAUAUUUUGUAACACAAAAAUUGUAAUUGAACUCCCCUACCAUGUUAUCAUUUCAUAACACAGAAAUUUAAAAGUGGCAUAACACUUGUUUGUA